GUAUUUACUUUGGUAGCACAUAUACUGAAAUUGAAAAGAUACAGAGAAGAUUAGCACAGCUCUUACAGAAGGAUGUCAGGAAAAUUCGUGAACUUUCUUAUAUUUUA